CGUGACAUGCUUUCACAAGUAUUAGCCUACGGUAAGUGACGUCGAGACACACCUUCACUUCACUCACGCGCUUGGCGCUGCUGGUUGCUAUGGAAGGUCGUCAAGUGCAAGGCGACUCAAGCAACAGCACUUGAAGGGACAACAAUUAGGAAACAAUAAAGUUUUUCGUAUCUCAGUCAUGUGUUUAUUUUUAAUCUAUUCAUUCUACGAUGUAAUGACUAAUUGCUGACAAACUCCCCACAGGCUACUGUUUAACUGAUGACCGAACAUGGAAUCCUCAGCAUCUUCUUCUGUUACAAUGUGUUGCGACGUUUGUUGUGACUGUGGCACAACAAAAGCUGCAGUGUCACUGAAUAGAGCAUUUUGCGUGGAGAAAAUGUUUUAAAUUGUCCUUAGUUCUUUUUAAUAAGCCAAUAACUAACUUAGGUUGCGUAUAUUGUCCUUUUCCCGCCCCCUCUUCUCUGCGGGAAUGUUUUUUACAGCAGGAAGAGAUUAAGUCUGUCUGCAUGGGUGCAGCAGGAGGCUGCUCCAACCAGUUCUGCUGAAGCCAAAAAAUGAGCCCAGAGGUCAAGAGAAGAAAUGCUGUGUUUUUUGUUGAGUCAGUAUUUGAUGAUCCAGAGGUUAUUGCAGCUAACAUCCUGGAAGUAAAGGUUUCAAGUCCAGAUUAUCCAGAAACACAGAGAGAGAGAGAGUCAUGGAGGAUUUCCUGAAACGCAUAGAAUGUUAUAAAGUCACUUACCAACCACUAGAUCCUGA